UACGUAGGGUCCAAGCGUUAUCCGGAUUUAUUGGGCGUAAAGCACAUGUAGGUGGUUUUCUAAGUCUUUUUCUUAAAGCUCUGGGCUCAACCCAGAAUCUGGAUGAGAUACUAGAAGGCUAGUGGUCAGCAGGGGCAAACGGAAUUCCCGGUGUAGGAGUGAAAUCCGUUGAUAUCGGGAGGAACACCAAUGGCGAAGGCAGUUUGCUAGGCUGAUUCAGACACUGAGAUGUGAAAGCGUGGGGAGCGAACGGG
rnacentral:rRNA from 1 species